rnacentral:rRNA from 1 species
GAGAACUGGGGGCAGGGAGCGUGGGUGAUGCGGCGGGGGGGAGGGGUGUCGGGAAUGUUGGGGGGUAAAGGGGUGUGAGGCGGUUGUUGGCGGAGGGAGUGAAAACCUGAUGCUUAACAGGUGGCUUGCUUUCGAUACGGGCAGACUAGAGGUAUGCAGGGGAGAACGGAAUUCCUGGUGUGGCGGUGAAAUGCGCAGAUAUCAGGAGGAACACCGGUGGCGAAGGCGGUUCUCUGGGCAUUACCUGACGCUGAGGAGCGAAAGUGUGGGGAGCGAACAGGAUUAGAUACCCUAGUAGUC